GUGAGUGCACCCCGGGUUCCUGCCACCUUUACUUCAGUGGGUACCAAGGCUCACUGAAAAGGCCUCGGUUGUGGUUCUACUUGGUCUGUGGGGGUUCUUUUUUUAUGGGGUUUUUUUCCAGUACCGGGGAUCGAACUCGGGACCUUGGGGGCCGGGGAUUUAGCUCAGUGGUUCUGGCGCCUGCCUUGCAAGGGCAAGGUCCCGAAUUCGAUCCCCAGUACAAAAAGAAAAGAAAAAAUAUAAAGUUUAAAUAUUUCCAACGAACUCAGGACCUUGGGCUUGCCAGGCAGCCGUCGCACCAAGUUUUUGUUCGUUUGUUUUUGGUCCUGGGGAUCGAACUCGGGACCUUGCCCUUGCGAGGCAGGAGGAGAAACCACUGAGCUAAACCUGUGGCCCUCCAAGUUUUGUUUUAAUGAGCACUUGUACUUGGCUUGGAUUAAUUAUAUACUGUAGAAGUCUUGUGGCCUUUGGGUCCACAUAGAAAAAGGCUCCUUGCCAGUGUAGUGCUGCACACCUGUACUCCCAGCACUUGGGAGCCUGAGGCAGGAGGAUCACUUGGAGUUGAAGGCCAGCCUGAGCUACAUAGUGAGUUCAAGGCCAACAUGCACUGUAUAGGGAGACCCUGUCUCAAAAACACAAAAGUGUCCUCAGUGUCAGCACGUCAGCCCUGGCAUGCUAGCCUCUAUAAAAAGGAAUGAUUAUGAUAAAUAUGUUUCUAGUAUACAAAAAAAUCAUAGGAGUAUUGAUGGCAUUGCCUGGGGCAACGUUAAGAAAAAAAAGAGUUGAAACUGUUUCCUCAAGCCCAACAAGAAAAACGCUGUUUAACAGAGAUUUAGGAGAAAACUCUGGUAUUGGAAAACUUUUCACUAAUGCUAUGGAAUCUUUAGAUGAAGAAGAGAAAGAUUAUUAUUUUUCAAACUCUGAUUCUGCGUAGAAAAAUGUGAUUUCCAGGACUUUCACAAAAAAGCAGAUGGUGUAUUUAUCUACAUUUAGAAAGUAUUUAUGUAUUUUCUUUAUGAUGUAGGUUCAUAUGGAAAUGUCGAUUCUUUUUUCAAAGGUUUCAUGUUUGCAAUGGAAAGUAAAAUAUACUAAAAUAUUCCCCAUUGCUGCAUCUUACCAAAAAUGUAAGGAAAAUUGUUUUGUGCAGACAUUUGUAAAUAUGGUUUGUAAUAUUAAAAUAUAUAUAGUUAACUCUUAAAAAAAACAAAUAAAUACAGUACAAUUUUAAAAAAACUGGAGCUCUUUCCCGGAUUUAGCCUGGAUUUUCCCUUGGAUAACAGAUGUGCUUAAAGCACCACCAACCGUGACAGCCAGAUUAGCUUGCCUUUUUUCUGGAUUCCUCUCCUUUUUAUCCUCCAGGUCUUGUUUGUUUUGUUUUUAGUUUUUUGAGACAGGGUCUCACUAUGUAGUUCAGGCUGGCCUUGAACUCACCACAGUCCUCCUGCCUCAGCUUCCCCAGUGCUGAGAUUACAGGCAUGCGCCAUCACACUAGGCAAGGUCCUGAUUGUUGAAGACAGAAAAGGCUGUGUCCAGCAAGGUCCUCUAUGUAGCUCAGGCCGGCCUUGAACUCACUGUGUAGCCCAGGCUGACUUCAAACUUGCAGUGAUCCUCCUGCUUCAGCCUCCUGAGUGCUGGGAUUACAGGUGUGCACCACCACACCCAGUCUAACAGGUUUCUCAACACAUCUUUCUGCUCCCACGGUAAGAGCAGUCAUCAUUUUAGACUACAUGCUUGCUUCAGCCGAGUACCGUCAUCCCGUUGGGCUCUGUCAGAGGGACAGUAACCUCUCCAGUGACUCUCUCAGCAGCAAUUGCUCACCUGUAUCUCUCCUGGCCUCUGCUAGGACUCUGCUUUUCAUCAUGGCUACAGCAAGUGGUGAGACAAACUGGACGUCUCCGCCGUGUGAGAGGUCAGAGCAAGGGUCAAAGUCAGAAACCCAUCUGCAAACCUCCGGGGUCUCCUGAAGUCGGCCUGAGUGCCUUGCCUUGUUUGUGUCUGUACUGGAAAAGGGCCCUGGAGCCGGAACCCCUCCUUGGGACUCUCCAAGAGGCCGAGCACUGUGAGUUGAAGGAGUGGGAAACUCCACCCCGCCUGUGUCCUUCCUGGAUCAGAGCUGACUGGGG
rnacentral:lncRNA from 1 species